rnacentral:rRNA from 1 species
GAUUAACGCUGGCGGCGUGCAUAACACAUGCAAGUCGAACGAUGAAACUUUUUUGAUUUCUUCGGAAUGAUUAAAAGUGGAUUAGUGGCGGACGGGUGAGUAACGCGUGAGUAACCUGCCUUAGAGAAGGGGAUAGCCUUUGGAAACGAAGAAUAAUACCCUAUGAAACCAUAACCUCGCAUGAGGAAUUGGUCAAAGAUUUAUCGCUCUAAGAUGGACUUGCGUCUGAUUAGUUAGUUGGUGGGGUAACGGCCCACCAAGACAGCGAUCAGUAGCCGGCUUGAGAGAGUGUACGGCCACAUUGGGACUGAGACACGGCCCAGACUCCUACGGGAGGCAGCAGUGGGGAAUUUUGCACAAUGGGGGAAACCCUGAUGCAGCGACGCCGCGUGAUUUAGAAGGCCUUCGGGUUGUAAAAAUCUUUUCUAUGGGAAGAAAAUGACAGUACCAUAGGAAUAAGGACCGGCUAAUUACGUGCCAGCAGCCGCGGUAAUACGUAAGGUCCGAGCGUUGUCCGGAAUCAUUGGGCGUAAAGGGUACGUAGGCGGGUAAGCAAGUUAGAAGUGAAAUCCUAUAGCUCAACUAUAGUAAGCUUUUAAAACUGCUCAUCUUGAGGUAUGGAAGGGAAAGUGGAAUUCCUAGUGUAGCGGUGAAAUGCGCAGAUAUUAGGAGGAAUACCGGUGGCGAAGGCGACUUUCUGGCCAUAACCUGACGCUGAGGUACGAAAGCGUGGGUAGCAAACAGG